UGGCUGUAGCCAUGUAGAAACGUCAAAUACCAUGUACAAACGUCAAAUAACGGCUCAUUCCAUCACCUAUAUUUAGCAAACUACUGUAGCACAAAAGCCGCCAGUGCAAUGUCCCGAGUGGGAUUAUUGUUUUUAUCUAAUACAUUUGCAAACAUUUCUAAAAACCUGUUUUAAGCUUUGACAUAUGGCUGCUAUUAAAUGGGUAGAUAGUUCAAUAGUAAUAUCCUCUAAAACGCUACGGUGACAAACAAACUCUGCUGCCCUGUUUCCAAUCGUCCACAUGGCUGGGAGAACCUAUUCAAGUAAGUAAGUACAUACAUUUCGAAAAUAACUCUGUAUUAUUAGCUAAUUUGCUACAGUGCAGGCUAACUCAAAUGAGCUAGCUAGUCGGUUAGCUACCUAGCCAUCUUCACAUACUGUAUAGAUAGCUCGCUAAGUGAAUUAAAUAUCACCAUCUACCUAACGUCAUAUUAGCUAGCUAUCUUGAUGUAUUUAUCGCUGUAAAAAAACAAACUCAAAAUGCAUUCGUAGGUAGCUAGCUAACAGCCAUGGAAGACGGUGAAAGGAUAGCAGCCCCAACUGUCAGUGAAAGUAACGUUAGGCUAUUCUGAAUAGGAUAUGUACUUUUGUGUAGUUCCUGUCCCAAGAAGUGAGGAUGGAUAUAAUAGCAACAUAAUAUUCAGUGUGGUGUAAUUUGACUACAAUGAAGUUUGUUUCUUGUGAGGUUUUCUGUCCUCAGAUAAAGAGAGCUAUGAAAGCCUGUCUACAUAUGACGAGGUCCCAAAUGAAGAGCAGUGGUUCUCAGUCCCGGGGACUCAAAGCGGUGCACAUUUUUGUUUUUGCCUUAGCACUGCACAGCUGAUUCAAAUGACCAACUCAUCAUCAAGCUUCAAAUGAUACCUUGUAACUGGAUAUUCCUUCAAAACGAUUGCCUACAGUUAAUGUGUAGGGCACAGCAAGGUUGGGUGACUAGGGCCAUCUGGGACUGCCUGCGGGAGGAAUUCAGGUGUGUGAAGGAGCAAUUCAGGUGUGUGAAGGCUACCUGUGUCCUGCAUAACUUCAUGAGGAUAGACACAAGGACCAGGAGGGGAUCUGCAGCUCCCCGCCGUGUGCCAGAGGAAAAGUCUGCUGCUCUGCAGGAUGUUUAAGGAUGGGGUCCAACAAUGCAGCAAGAGAGGCAAUCUGUGUGCAGGAGAUCUUCACCUCCUACUUCUUUCGAAGAGGGUGCUGUUCCCUGGCAACACCAUAGACAACACUAUGCACAACCAAAGGCUCUUUUAAGAGCCAUUCACAUUGAAAUAAGAGUAUUCUUCCAUUUACUUAGCUAUGUCAACUGCAGUUAUUCAAUUCCCAGUUUCUCUCCCUUUGAUUUCUACUUCUCAGGUGAGGGUGCUGUUUAGGUAAGGGUGUGAUGUUUGUACAAAAACAAAACAGGCUAUUUUAAAUCACCUAUAUUGAAAAAAUGUAGAACAAUUAGACACCCUAUAACCCACACAUACACACUCAUGUAUCAAUCUGAUUGAUGGAUUGUGUUGUGCAGUAAGCAAUCUCAGGUGUAUAACUGUGGCUCCUUCCACCUUCAAAGAAUAGGCAAGAGUGCCAACUAUAGAGAAUAAUAAGACACUUAAUUAUUUCUAUAACUACGCUAUAUUGUUUGUUAUUGUGUUUCCGUUCAUGUGUUUCAGCAUAAAGUACUCUGCAGCCACUUAGUGUGGUGUGGACACUAGGUGAGGCCACACACAGAUUCCUGUUGAAGACUGUCACUUUAACUACCUUAUUUCCUCAAUAAAUAGUCUCUCUCCAUCACUUCAUCCCUCUCUCCUCUUCUCCCUAAAUCCUAUAGGUUAUAUCAGCUGUGUCGGUGAACCCCUCCCACAUCUGAACUGGCUACAUAGAAGGCACUUGGUCAGGUCAACAAGAAGUAUUAUUAAAGAGAUGUUUUACAUUGAAAUACAGAUAGAGAUGUAGUUGUCCCAGAGUUAAUGAUCCAAGAUAUGUUUUGAUGUGAGAGAGGAUGCCAACUUCCAGUCCCAUCAUCGCCACCUCAUCCGCUCUUAAGAUAACCUUCGGGCCGACUAGAGACACUUGUGCAAUUGUGAUGAACUGAGAGAAUAUUUGGGUAGCAAUGAUUCAUUAAACUAACCUCUUUCCCUUUGUAUUUUACACCUCUCACCACCUCUUUCUUCCUCUGUUUUAUAAUGUACAACAGAUGUACAUUGAAGUACAGAUUGAACUUGCAUGUAUAAUAUUACAAAUAUAUUUAUGCAUGCACUUGGAUAAUGAACUUCUUUCAAUAAAGUGUCACAUUCUCUACGGGUUGAAA